GGGAGGCCGCUAAACGGCUGAUGUCGCUCCGACAGGGCUCUCGCAGUCACUUUUCGGACUCUGGCUGCCGAGAGCAAUUUCAAUGAUGAGGCGCUACAAGAGGUUUUUCGGGGGGCUCUAAAUGAGUCGCUUAAAGACGAGCUGGCUUCCAGGGAUGAGACAAGAUCCCUAGAAGAGCUGAUUGAUCUUUCCAUCAGACUGGAUUGUCGUCCCCGUGAGCUACGUCACAGACUCCGCCUACCUCACUUCUUUCUCCACAGCACUCCACUCCUAAAUCCUCCUUUGAGCCGCAGACUUCGACAGCACCCCCGCUUCCCGAGAUCGGUGAACCCAUGCAACUGGGCCUAACUAAACUCUCAGAUUUGGAGAAAACACGCAGGAGGACCUUUAAUCUGUGUUUAUAUUGAGGUGAGGCGAGCCACUACAUCGCCAACUGUCCCAAAUGUCCAUCAAACCGGCAGACUCACCAAUAAAGGAGGAGUUGCCCUAGUAGACUGGAGCUGACGAGAAUCUCAUUAACCACCGCCGAGUUAAACAGAUGGGAGUUCGUCUACAGGCUCUGACCACUCCCAAAAAUGCCACUGCCCUUGAUGGGCGGCUGAUCUCCCGUAUCCAGCAAAUGACUGCUCCUGUUUCCCUCAAGCUAUCAGAUCACGAAUGACAUCUUCGACAAGUACUUCAGAGACUCCUUGAGAACAAGCUCUUCGUCAAAGGAGAAAAACCAAAGGUAGCCGCAGUCACCAAGUGGCCAACGCCAUCCACGCGAAAGGAGCUGCAACGGUUCCUUGGUUUCGUCAACUUCUUCAUUCUGUUAAUUCGGAACUGCAAUCGGGUUGCCGCACCCCUCACUGGCCUCACAUCAACCCUAACAUCCUUCCAUUGGUCUGAGAAGGCUGACCUUGCCUUUUGUGAGCUGAAGAAACUUCUUUCCUCGGCUCCUGUCCUCGUUCAUCCGGAGCCACAAAAGCAAUUCAUUGUUGAGGUCGACGCAUCGGAGGCGGGGGUUGGCGCGGUGCUGUCUAAGUGAUCACAGAAUGAUGGUAAGGUACACCCUUGUGGCUUAUUUUCUUGCAAGUUGUCUCAGGCGGAGAAAAAUUAUGGGGUUGGAGUCCGGGAGCUCCUGGCAGUGAAGAUGGUGUUGGAGGAAUGGCGGCAUUUCCUGGAAGGCGCCGAACAAGCAUUCAUCGUGUGGACCGACCAAUAGAAUCUAGAGUACAUCUGCUCUGCCAAGAGGCUGAGUUCCCGUCAAGCCAGCUUUCUGGGCUCAAUCCCAUUAAAAAUAAAAACCCUGGUGAAGGAGGCCCAGGAAGAGCAAGCCGAUCCUGGUGGGGGUCCCUGGAACUCCUUGUUUCUCCCGGAUUUAGUCCGCCCCCAGGUGCUACAGUGGGCCCAUUCAUCAUGACUUACCUGUCACCCUGGGAUCCGCAGAAUGUUGGCCUUCCUCCGUCAACAAUUCUGGUGGCCUACCAUGGAAGAUGACACCCAGUCCUUUAUCUCUGCAUGAUGCCAUUGGUCGCACAUCGCCCUGGACUUUGUUUCUGGGCUUUCCCCAUCCAAUCGAAACACAGUCAUUCUCACUGUGGUGGACAGGUUUUCCAAAGCAGCACACUUCCCAAGCUUCCAUUUGCCAGAGAGACUGCCGACCUGUUGGUCCAGCACGUUUUCCGCCUGCAUGGCAUCCCUUCUGACAUAUUCUCUGACAGGGGCCCCUAAUUCACCUCACAGGGUUGACGUGUUGGAGUCAAGCAGCUGCAUCUUAUCAUCCUAAUUACACCUGACUCCUCUUAAGACACUGUGGGACUCCAACUCGUCACCAGACUAUCAACGCUCUAUUCUGCAGUCUUCCCUUGGUCCCCCCAAACCAGUGCUCACCUCUUGUGGUCCACCGACAACCCAGACUCAUACCCUGCUAGACUGGUCCUCCUUGGAACCCUGUUAAUUCCGGAUCUAGUUCUAGUUCUAGUUCUAGCCCAUUUUGUUUGCUUCCAAUUCACAAUAAACAUUUGGCCACGAACUACCCUCCCUCUCCUCUCUGCAUCUGGGUCCAACUCGCAACCUGAAUCCUGACAGGAGUACCCAAACAAAAUCGAAACAAGCACAGAGAUAACAUACAAACUGAUUGACAUUUGUCUUGUAUAAUUUCGAGUCAAUAUCAAUAGAGAGGUUUCAGUUCACGUCAGACUGUGCCUUCUCUCUCUAGGAUCUAUUAUAAAACAGAUCCAUUUUGCCUUGAACAUAAUAGGAGUUACAGUAGCUUCGUGUGAAUCACUGAACAAAUAUUUUGUUGUAUAACCAUUGUUUCUGAGAACUGCUUCACAUACGUGUUGCAUGGAGUCGACCAACUUCUGGCACCCGAGAACUACUAUUUUAGCCCAGGACUCUGUGUUUGAACAGCCCAAAAUUCCAUGUUUUUACUAUAAAGUAAUAACUAACUGAACACA